AUACGUAGGGUGCGAGCGUUGUCCGGAAUUACUGGGCGUAAAGAGCUCGUAGGUGGUUUGUCGCGUCGUCUGUGAAAUUCCGGGGCUUAACUCCGGGCGUGCAGGCGAUACGGGCAUAACUUGAGUACUGUAGGGGAGACUGGAAUUCCUGGUGUAGCGGUGAAAUGCGCAGAUAUCAGGAGGAACACCGGUGGCGAAGGCGGGUCUCUGGGCAGUAACUGACGCUGAGGAGAGAAAGCAUGGGUAGCGAACAGGAUGAGAUACCCUGGGAGUCCAUGCCGUAAACGGUGGGCGCUAGGUGUAGGGGUCUUCCACGACUUCUGUGCCGUAGCUAACGCAUUAAGCGCCCCGCCUGGGGAGUACGGCCGCAAGGCUAAAACUCAAAUGAAUUGACGGGG
rnacentral:rRNA from 1 species